GAUGAACGCUAGCGACAGGCCUAACACAUGCAAGUCGAGGGGCAUCGGGGCGAGGAGCAAUCCUUGCCGCCGGCGACCGGCGCACGGGUGAGUAACGCGUAUGCGACCUGCCCGUUGCAGGGGGAUAAUCGGGAGAAAUCCCGUCUAAUACCGCGUAAUGCCGCGGGGCUGCAUGGCCCUGCGGCCAAAGGGAGCGAUUCCGGCAACGGAUGGGCAUGCGUGACAUUAGCUAGUUGGCGGGGCAACGGCCCACCAAGGCGACGAUGUCUAGGGGUUCUGAGAGGAAGGUCCCCCACACUGGUACUGAGACACGGACCAGACUCCUACGGGAGGCAGCAGUGAGGAAUAUUGGUCAAUGGGCGCGAGCCUGAACCAGCCAAGUCGCGUGAGGGAUGACGGCCCUACGGGUUGUAAACCUCUUUUGUCGGGGAGCAAAU
rnacentral:rRNA from 1 species